rnacentral:tRNA from 1 species
GGACGGGUGGCAGAGCGGCCUAAUGCAGCGGUCUUGAAAACCGCCGAUGUGAAAGCAUCCGUGGGUUCGAAUCCCACCCCGUCCGCCA